rnacentral:rRNA from 1 species
GACGAACGCUGGCGGCGUGCUUAACACAUGCAAGUCGAGCGGAAAGGCCUGCUUUCCCUUGUGGAUUGCGGGUACUCGAGUGGCGAACGGGUGAGUAACACGUGAGUGAUCUGCCCCCAACUUGGGUAUAAGCCUGGGAAACUGGGUCUAAUUCCCGAUAGGACUGCAGGGUGGUGCCUGUGGUGGAAAACGAUUUUCUAGUGGUUGGGGAUGAGCUCGCGGCCUAUCAGCUUGUUGGUGGGGUAAUGGCCUACCAAGGCGGCGACGGGUAGCCGGCCUGAGAGGGUGGACGGCCACAUUGGGACUGAGAUACGGCCCAGACUCCUACGGGAGGCAGCAGUGGGGAAUAUUGCACAAUGGGCGGAAGCCUGAUGCAGCGACGCCGCGUGGGGGAUGACGGCCUUCGGGUUGUAAACUCCUUUCGACCGCGAGGAAGCCACCUGGUUGGAAGGGUGGUGACGGUAGUGGUAGAAGAAGCACCGGCUAACUGCGUG